rnacentral:rRNA from 1 species
UACGAAGGGGGCUAGCGUUGUUCGGAAUCACUGGGCGUAAAGCGCACGUAGGCGGAUUGUUAAGUCGGGGGUGAAAUCCUGAGGCUCAACCUCAGAACUGCCUUCGAUACUGGCAAUCUCGAGUCCGGAAGAGGUUGGUGGAACAGCUAGUGUAGAGGUGAAAUUCGUAGAUAUUAGCUAGAACACCAGUGGCGAAGGCGGCCAACUGGGUCCGGUACUGACGCUGAGGUGCGAAAGCGUGGGGAGCAAACAGGG